rnacentral:rRNA from 1 species
GACGAACGCUGGCGGCGUGCCUAAUACAUGCAAGUCGAGCGGACCAAACAGGAGCUUGCUCUUGUUUGGUUAGCGGCGGACGGGUGAGUAACACGUGUGUAACCUGCCCGUAAGACCGGGAUAACUCCGGGAAACCGGAGCUAAUACCGGAUAACACCGCAGACCGCAUGGUCUUUGGUUGAAAGGCGGCUUCGGCUGCCACUUACGGAUGGGCCCGCGUUGCAUUUGCUAGUUGGUGAGGCAACGGCUCUCCCAGGCGACGGUGCGUAGCCGGACGGCGAGGGUGGCCGGCCACACUGGGACUGAGACAGGGCCCAGACGGCUAAGGGAGGGAGCAGGAGGGAAACGUCCGCAAUGGACGAAAGUCUGACGGAGCGAGGCCGCGGGAGCGAAGAAGGGCUUCGGGUCGGGAAGCUCGGUUGUUAGGGAAGAAGAAGCGCCGUUCGAACAGGGCGGCGCGGUGACGGUACCUAACAAGAAAGCCCCGGCUAACUACGUG